rnacentral:lncRNA from 1 species
CAAGACGAUACUUGAAGGAGAAACUGAGUUGAAUAAUUUGGUAGACUGUAGAUUGAGCACAUCUAAGGGAAAUAAAUACAUUGUCAUGACGAUUUAAAUGGAUGGAUGUGUUCUAGACAAGUAUACCCAUACUAUAUAUUGGCUGAUUUUGGCGAUCUGGAGUGCAGAAACCCUACAGAGAGAGGACUGCAGGGAUCUGUGGUAAUAAACUUGGCUCAAGAUGCAGAAAGCAGAUGCCGGGGUUGAGAAGGGGCCAACACAUGCUGGAGAUCAUGGAGGGAACAGGACGGGGCUGUGGAUGAAGAGAGAGAGAAAUGUUUGCCUUUUGGAGCUCUGUGUGAACCUUCUCUGGGGUUAUUGAUGGGCCCCGCCUCCUCCCCCGGCUCCAUAAAUCUCAGAGAAAUGACCCCUGCCUGGUGGAGGGCCAGACACUCUGCAAUCGGGCCCGAGCCUGAUGACAGCUUUAGCUGCUGCUGAAGUGGACAGCUCCAGUUUCUGUUUAGCCAUAUAUAGACUGGCCUCACUAAAACAUGUCCUCGCUGGCCACCUAAAGAGUCAACCUUAUGAUCAUGACAAAUAACAGAUUUCCCUGUCUGAUGUAGAUUAAAUGGUAAUCACUGUCUGGUUUAAGCAUAUUACCAUGGGCCUGAAUGUGUUGAUGCUGUUUGUUUGAGAACUUAGCUCCAGUGCUGACUCAAUGUCCUACCUACUCCAUACUAUGACCAUGCAGACAUUCAUUCACCAUAGAUUUUUAACUGGUGGCCAUAGUAUCGACAGUAAAGCAAACAGUGACUUCGGAUAGUAUUCAGACCCCUUCACUUCUUCCACAUUUUGUUACGUUACAGCCUUAUUCUAAAAUUGAUUAAAUAGAAAAAAUCCUCAGCAAUCUAUACACAAAAACCCAUAAUGACAAAGUGAAAACAGGUUUUUAGAAUUUUCUGCAAAUGUAAAAAAAAAAAAAAAAACAGAAAUAGCUUAUUUACAUAACUAUUCAGACCCUUCGCUAUGAGACUCGAAAUUGAGCUCAUGUGCAUCCUGUUUCCAUUGAUCAUCCUUGAGAUGUUUCUAGAACUUGAUUGGAGUCCACCUGUGGUAAAUGCAAUUGAUUGUACAGUACAUGAUCUGGAAAGGCACACACCUGUCUAUAUAAGGUCCCACAGUUGACAGUGCAUGUCAGAGCAAAAACCAAACCAUGAGGUCCAAGGAAUUGUCCGUAGAUGUUCGAGACAGGAUUGUGUCGAGGCACAGAUCUGGGGAGGGGUACCAAAACAUUUCUGCAGCAUUGAAGGUCCCCAAGAACACAGUGGCCUGCAUCUUUCUUAAAUGGAAGAAGUUUGGAACCACCAAGGCUCUUCCUAGAGCUGGCCGCCCGGUCAAAGUGAGCAAUCUGGGGAGAAGGGCCUUGGUCAGGGAGGUGACCAAGAACCUGAUGGUCACUCUGAAAGAGCUCUAGAGUUCCUUUGUGGAGAUGGGAGAACCUUCCAAAUGGCAGCCAAAGACUCUCAGACCAUCAGAAACAAGAUUCUCUGGUCUGAUGAAACCAAGAUUGAACACUUUGGCCUGAAUGCCAAGCGUCACGUCUGGCGGAAACCUGGCACCAUUCCUACAGUGAAGCAUGGUGGUGGCAUCAUCAUGCUGUGGGGAUUUUUGUCAGUGGCAGGGACUGGGUGACUAGUCAGGAUUGAGGGAAAGAUGAACAGAGCAAAGUAUAGAGAGAUCCAUGAUGAAAACCUGCUCCAGAUCACUCAGGACCUCAGGCUGGGGUGAAGGUUCACCUGAAGCACACAGCCAAGACAACGCAGGAGUGGCUUCGGAACAAGUCUCUGAAUGUCCUUGAGUGGCCCAGCCAGAGCUGAAAAUAGCUGCGCAGCAACGCUCCCCAUCCAACCUGACAGAGCUUGAGAGGAUCUGCAGAGAAAAAUGGGAGAAUCUCCCCAAAUACAGGUGUGCCAAGCUUGUAGCAUCAUACCCAAGAAGACUCGAUGCUGUAAUCACUGCCAAAGGUGCUUCAACAAAGUACUGAGUAAAGUGUCUGAAUACUUAUGUAUAUUCUUUAUAAAUAAGCAAUAAAUUCUAAAAAACUGUUUUUGCUUUGUCAUUAUGGGGUAUUGUGUGUAGAUUGAUGAGGGCAUUUAUUUAUUUUUUACCAAUUUUAGAAUAAAGCUGUGGAAAAAGUCAAGGGGUCUGAAGGAACUGUAUGUCUAUAAAAGUGCCCUAGAAGCCAUUCUGUUAUCUGGUUAUACUGUAUGUAGGCUACAGUAGUUUUUUAUUUUAUUUACUUAACCUUGAAUUAUCUUUUCUAAGUUUGACUAGUUCAUUGUAUUGUUGACUUGGGUCAUAGAUACAUCAGGACGCUUUGAUGUCAGUGUUUAUUAAUGCUGCUUUCUAUGCAGCAAUUGCACUCGAGUGAACACUAUUGUUGCUAUCACUGCACACAUUGAGACUCGAGAUGGUAUUUGAGUCUCUUGUACAGAAAACUAUGUGCAUACGUGUGUGCGAAUGUGUGCGUGUAUGCAUGUGUAAGCAUAAUGUGUGUCCAUGUCAGUGUAAAAAAGCAAAGCCAGUCGUAAGUACUGAGCAGUGUAGGAUGGAGCGUUGAGUGAGUCUGCUAGCUCCUUCAGUCAGUCUGCAGUAGGAUGGAGCAGUGAGUGAGUCUGCUAGCUCCUUCAGUCAGUCUGCAGUAGGAUGGAGCAGUGAGUCUGCUAGCUCCUUCAGUCAGUCAGUCUGCAGUAGGAUGGAGCAGUGAGUGAGUCUGCUAGCUCCUUUAGUCAGUCUGCAGUAGGAUGGAGCAGUGAGUGAGUCUGCUAGCUCCUUCAGUCAGUCAGUCUGCAGUAGGAUGGAGCAGUGAGUGAGUCUGCUAGCUCCUUCAGUCAGUCAGUCUGCAGUAGGAUGGAGCAGUGAGUGAGUCUGCAGUAGGAUGGAGAAGUGAGUGAGUCUGCUAGCUCCUUCAGUCAGUCUGCAGUAGGAUGGAGCAGUGAGUGAGUCUGCUAGCUCCUUCAGUCAGUCUGCAGUAGGAUGGAGCAGUGAGUGAGUCUGCUAGCUCCUUCAGUCAGUCAGUCUGCAGUAGGAUGGAGCAGUGAGUGAGUCUGCUAGCUCCUUCAGUCAGUCAGUCUGCAGUAGGAUGGAGCAGUGAGUGAGUCUGCUAGCUCCUUCAGUCAGUCAGUCUGCAGUAGGAUGGAGCAGAAAGUGAGUCUGCAGAAGGAUGGAGAAGUGAGUGAGUCUGCUAGCUCCUUCAGUCAGUCAGUCUGCAGUAGGAUGGAGCAGUGAGUGAGUCUGCUAGCUCCUACAGUCAGUCAGUCUGCAGUAGGAUGGAGCAGUGAGUGAGUCUGCUAGCUCCUUCAGUCAGUCAGUCUGCAGUAGGAUGGAGCAGUGAGGGAGUCUGCUAGCUCCUUCAGUCAGUCAGUCUGCAGUAGGAUGGAGCAGUGAGUGAGUCUGCUAGCUCCUUCAGUCAGUCAGUCUGCAGUAGGAUGGAGCAGUGAGUGAGUCUGCUAGCUCCUUCAGUCAGUCAGUCUGCAGUAGGAUGGAGCAGUGAGUGAGUCUGCUAGCUCCUUCAGUCAGUCUGCAGUAGGAUGGAGCAGUGAGUGAGUCCACUCCUCCAUUCUGCAGUAGGAUGCUGUAAAAGUCAAACAGCCAAUCAGGCCCACAGAAGGAUCCUUACAGAGAUUCCCCAGCCAGGAGAAAGCAGUUAAAAGUUAUGUGGUCUGUGGGACCACUCUGAAUGGAAAGGCCUGAACAUGACAUGACGCUUGAACUCCCCUCCAUCCGCCCCGCCAGGUCCUAUGACAUGUGUCUAAAGGGCGAGAGCUGGGGGUUCACGUCUGUCACAUAUCUAGCUUGAACUUGAGCUUUUAUAUUGUUCUCUCAUGUCUUGAAUCACCUUAGUUGAUUGGUUGGGACAUUUUGGAUUUACAUUUAUAUCUAAAUCCAGUGGAGGAUAAAUGCAAGGGAUUUUGAGAGUGAGAUAUUGUUGGAUUGCGGGACAGUUGCAUGAUAUUGCACCUCCCUCCUUCUCUCUCUCUUCAGGCAGAUAAUGAGUAGCCUACAUGUCUUCAGCUGGUUGAAAGGUCAGCCGAGAGAUCUUCCGCUGAAGUCUGCGAUUCUACCAUCAUUGUAAUCAUAGCCAAAUAGAAAUGUAAACAUUAGCAUUUUGGCCUCACUUUAUGUCUACGUCCGUAACUUUGUUAAGGAGAAAUACAGAGAUGGUUUCACUGCUUUUAAGGACUUUGAAUAAUAGUAAAAUGCAAAGCAUUCAAACUGAAUCGAUCAAAAAGUGUUAGCAUUAUUUUGUGAUAAAAUAAUACAAUUUUCACAAACACAAGAAAUGUUAUCUACAAACAAAACAGUUACAACAAACACAGUCAACGACACAUAAUGUAAUACAAGAAGCUCCAGCCUUGAUAAAUAAAAAAAUGAAAAGACAAUGGAAUGUACAGAUUUAGUCAAGCCUCCCCACAAUCUCCCCAAAAAGUGUUAUCAUUAAAAAACCCAAAAAGAUGGAAAAAAUAUUAUUUUACAUCCUACAUGUAAAUGUGUUGUACUACACAUCUACAAAUCUUCUGUCAUGUAACAUACUUUUCAUAACCACAAUUAAAUUGAAUCGAAUGGUGAAUUUAUCAUAAUUACUCUUGCUUGAUUAUAGUGAUAGAGUCUAUAAAGAGUCUAUAAAGAAAUUCCUCUUAUAGUUGCAUGGAGGGAGCUGUUGGUGUUGGAGCUGCAUCUCUCUGUCACUCUCUGACCCCUGCUGGACUGAUUGUUGACCUAUUAACCUCCAGGAGUUAGCAGUGUUUUAAUAGCUGUUCAUCCACCACUAUUUUGAAGUUUCACGUUUUACUGUCACGUACACAAGUACAAUGAAAUGCCUUUCUUGCAAGCUCCAAACCCAACAAAACAGUAAUCAUUAUCAAAGUAGCACUAAAAAUAACAUAAGGUAGAACAUGAACACAAAAGAAAUAAAAAAUAAGAAAUGAGAAGAACAUGAGAAAGUAAGAAUGUAUAUACAGCAUCAGUUCCAAUAGCAUAUUUACAAUGUGCAGGGAUACUGGAGUGAUAGAGGUAGAUAUGAAUGGGGAUGAGGUGACUAGGCAUCAGGAUAUACAGUAUGAUAAACAGAAUAGCAGCGGAAAUUAUGAUUGUACGUGAGUGUGUGUGUGUGUGUACAAGUGUAGACUCAGUAUAAAUGUGUGUGCAUGGUAUGUGUGUGUUGGAGUGUCAGUGUGUGUGAGUGUGUAGAGUCCUGUGAGUGUGCCAUUAUUCACAUAGUCUAUUAAGACAUGCCUCCAGUUCCACCAUGUUCUGUGUGUUUCCUAAUGAAGACAAAAAGAUGCUGUGUUAUUACUGUGUAAUCAGUGGACUUGCCACGUUAUUUUAAUCUUUAUUCUAAUCAUUUUAUUCAUCAUUUAUCUCUUUAUGUGAGUGAAACAUGAAAUAAACUUUAGAUUAUAUUUUUUUGAAACUACAUUAUACAAAAACAGAAUGUAAUUAUAAAGUUCUCUUUAAAUCAUCAAGGGGGUUAGUAAUGACUAGCCCUUUGAACAUAUGUACCCAUGCAAAAAAAAAGAGACAGAAACAAAACAAUACAAAAAACAAUUGAAAUGCUAAUUGAAGAGCGUGGUAGCUGUGAGGGGAGAAGAGAGCAUGGAGCCCUCAAGAGCAGCCUUCUCAAACUGGGGCUGUCAUCUCAUCUGCUGCAUGCAUUCGUGCUUUGUGUGUGCGCUUACGUGUGUGGGUAAAAUACAGACGUUUAAAACUAUACAUUAUUCCAAUUGUUUAACCAUACUGAAUGUUAAAGUUCAAAUUGUUUACUUUUUUAUCCUAUUCUUAUUUAGGACACAUUAUUACGUUUAAGACCGAAAUAAGUACUUUUUGAAAUCAUAAUUCUCUCUCUCCCUUUGCUACAUGCAUGUCCCUGAAUGGCUAUUCUAUUUCAGUGAGUACAUGUAUCUUUUUUUAAAUGUAACUUCAUAGGAGUUGUUUACUGAACAUGGUUAUGGUUCAUAUUGGACAUCAUGCAUCAUGCAUCACCUACGGGGUUUUGACUGACAGUGUCUUAUCAGUGAAUAAGGCAUAAUGUAAAUGAUAUAUAACCCCCUGUACUAAAACAUUUCAAAUGCACAGGCCCACCAGUGCUGAGUAGACAGAAAAUGUAAAUGCUAAUUAUUUAAUAAGCCUGUACCUCUCUAUCGCCCCCACCCCCCACUCCUGGCUGGCCACCUCCCACCUCCUGCCCCUCCCCCCUCCCACCCGCCUCUUUAAUCAUUAAGUAUGCAUUGAUUCAGCCUUCCCCUGCGUUAUAAAUACAGCAUCGAUCUGCAGGAGGAUCAAUAAACUCAUUCAAAUGCAUAGCCACUUUGAUAACGCUCCUGCUCACUGCCCUCUCUUUCAACAAGAUCUCAUAGUUUCACUGUGAAAUUUGACGUAUUAUGGAUGAACGUCAAUGUAUUACUAUUUUUUUAAAUUACGCAUGGUUGCGGGGUUAAUUCUGUGUGGUUACAAGUUUAGGUAUCAAUUCCGAGUGGUUAUGUAUCGGCAUGUAUUGGCGUUCUCAGGACCUUUUCAAACGUCCGAAAUCGAAGUCUAUUUCUAGUGAUCAGCCUGCUCUGCAUAGCAUCUCUUUCUCUCUCCCCUCUCUCUCUCCUUUCUCUCUCAUUCUGUGUCUCGUUCUCUAUCUCUCUCCGUACCCUCUCUCUGCCUCUUUCUCUCUCACUUUCUCUCACUCUCUCUUUCUUUCUAUCUCUCCCUCUUUCUCUGUCUGUCACAUAUACUCUUUAUCUUUUUACAUUACACACACCCAUAGUAUAGAUAUACAGCUAGAAAUGUUAGACUGUUCACACAAUAUGCAAUAUGUUUUUUACAUACCUGAUGUCAAUAUCAGAAAGGUCAAUUCAGUUGGAAACUGGGUCAAAUUUGAAUGGGUCACUCUCCUCCCCACUCAUAUUCAUUCAUUCAGGGACACCCUGGAUUAAAGUACCAGAGAAGGGAGACUAGACAGUUGAUGUGGCCAAUGUAUUCAAAACAGGAUAUCAUUUAUAACAGUGGGAGACUGCAGCAGCUUUAUGAUGACAAGAUUAUCUGUAUUGGGGCUUAUUGGGUUGUGAAUACAUUUCUAGGAGUGUGUUUAUGGUUACUUAACUAAGAAAUACUGCACAGCUAUAAAGUUAAAAAACGAUUGUAAUGAAAAUAAACUUGCUGCUGCCAAUAAGUUUAUUUUGUUGUCCUUUUAAUCAGGGUUGGUUAAAGUUAUUUGACAUUUCUCUGUUUGAGAUUACAUCCAGGUUGUUUAUGGUCUCUGGGUGAAAAUAAACACUGACCCUGGUCUUCCCAAUCAUUCCCAUCCUCUAAUGCUGCUACACUGGAGCAAGAGAUGUCUCCUAUAAAAAUCACCUGCUGUCCCCUUUACCCCUUACCCAAGCCCCCCUCCCCCUCUCAAUUUCUCUCUGUUCAGGUUCAGGACAAUUUAGUAAUAAGGGCUGCCGAGGAAGGUUGAGUGGACUGAUGAUCUUUACAGGGCCUUUUCUGGUGACUCACUAAAACCUGUCUUGUAAAAAUGAAGUCUGGGAAAUGGGAACUAGGUCUUGGGAAGAAUGGGAGCGAUGGAGGAACACAGGUCUGGG